rnacentral:rRNA from 1 species
AUGUAUACCCUCAUCUGCUCCUCAGACAGCCCUCCGGGAGGCGGUCGAACAGCCCCCCGGACGGUGUCGCGGACAGCCCUUCGGGAGGACCUUCGAAACUCGAACGAGUUGCACACAUACGGUGUCAGCUAUCCGGCAGGGCUUCGCCGUCCAGAACUAGUUCCUGCCGGAACCCAGACAGCCUUUCGGCUCUACGAAACUAUUUCGCUGGGAGGGAGAGAAGAAGCCAGAUCAUUGCAAUGGCAUGUAUGUGAUAAGGGAUCAUCCUUUAGGCAGCCCCCUCCACCCCUAUUUAUAGGCCAAGCCCAAGGGUGGCUUCUCCAAGAAGCCAAGGGGGGAAAUACCAAAAAGGCCCUCAAGAUCUUGGCUCUUGAACAGUUGAACCAUGCGUUCCUUGCUGUGGCUGUUUCUAUCUACGUCAUUAUCAGCGGUUGUGAUGCCCCUUUGGUACGUGUCCCACUCCCGCCUAGCCCGAGCUGUAUCUGCAUGCAUGUUCUCCGACAUCAUUAUUGUCGAAUAAUUGAUUUCCCCUUCGAGAGGUACAGCACACACGGAUCGCCCAUGGUUAGGAUGCCGAGCCAGGACAAGACACGCCGCUGGAGUUUUAAGGAUGGGCACGUGCACGUACGUCUGAGGAGUUGGUGUACACUUUUCGUCACGUACCGCGCAUCGGUUUGGCCAUUCUGCGGGGCGCCUUCCUCCCAUGCUGGAGAUUCAUCCCGUGAUCCAGCAAUAGGGGAGAUGCUCCUUGGCAAGGUUGUGCAGCUCAGUUUACCUAGAGACAUAACAAGCCCAGGGCUGGCCCUAAGGGGGGGCAGGAGGGGCGGCCGCCCCGGGCCCCCAGUGUCCAGGGGCCCCCAUCUAGGCCAGCGCCAGAUUGCGCCAUCACCCAGCACGCACACGCUCAUGCACAUCGCCGAGCGCAUGCCGCAGACGCAUAUACAUAUCGCGUCAUCGCCAAGCGCCGGAUCAGACAAUAACCAGCAGCGAUUCAACCGAUCCAAGGGAUUUUUAAGUUCCGUCACCAGCGAGCAGGAGUUGCGGGGCAAGGGGCGCGUGGUGGAGCUGCCGUGCGGGCUCGCGUUGAGGUCCUACAUCACCGUCAACGCCACGCCCAUGCCGUGCGCCCUGAGCGGAACCCUAAGAACCGCGCCGGCGGCGGCCAUUUAUUUUAAUUCUGCUCAACCCUUUGCUGAGUGCGACACUCGGCAGAGCACCGUGACACGUGGGGCCAGCCCCGUUCGGCCCAUUUUUGGUAGCCCGCGGAAGGGCCAGAAACCGGUCAGUUUCCGGAUUUCUCGACCGAAAAAAAACCUUGCUACCGACUGGUACCUUCUUGCUAGCCAGAUCCCGGUCGUGAGGGUGCCUAAGAGCAUCUCCAACAGCUGCCCUAUUAUUGGGCACAGGAUGUUUUUAGGGCACGAAGUGGCACUCGGGCGGCUGCCGCAAAAACGCAAGGCUGCCGUAAAUCGCCCGCGCACAGCCGUUUUUCACCCGCCUCUAGCCGGAAACCCCCUAAUCCGCGCACCCGCUGCCGCCGCCGCUUCAGAUCCGCCGCCGCUCCGCCGCCCGCCCCAAAGUAUAUCCCUACCCCACUGCCCCUCUUCAGGCCGCCCGCGGCCCUCGCCGCUCCGCCGCCUGCCCCGAUUUGGCUUCCGCCCUUGUCGCGGCCGUCGCCGUAGUGGCCAUGGCCGCUCGGCUGUGCCCCUACGUGGUGGCCUAGCGGCCGCCGGACCUCCACAGCCAGUCGCCCCACCGCCGCGGCCGAGCGGAGGUCCAGCGACAUUUGGGCAGCAACGGCGCGGUGUCUCCGAGUUCCGGACGCAUAGCCACCGUCCGCACGUCGAGGGAGCACUUCUGGUGGCCGUUGCCCACCCCCUCCCGGCAGCCGCAAGCCACCGACGACUCGCAGGCCGAAUUUCUCCUGCUCGCACACUAGGUGUUCGACGAAAUAUCUACGAAGUACGUAGACGUGUGGCAACAAUAUUGUCCAACUCAAGAAGCGGUAAGAAACAAGAGACUUCCCAAGUGGUGGAAGGUACUCGAGGACUACUAGUCUGGACAGCCGUCAAGAUAAGGCGUGUGUGGCGCAAACCUGCUGUAAAAACUGCAUUUAAACCGCCGGGGCCUGAGCCAGCUGAGCAUCAAAAUCCAAGUACAAACCACCGGCAAAGCCAAGCUGCCGUUUUGUGCGCUCCUGUCGAGCUGAGCUGCAGAGGUAGAACGGGGCUCAUGUCUGAGCAAUCCGUGAAACUCAACAUGCUAAUUCUGCUGGCGUUUCUGCUGCUGUCUUAUGGAGCUGGCAAUGUCCGUUGCUCAACUGUUCAUGCGAACAUCACAGACAUUCUCUCGUUGCUCCAAUUCAAAAGGUCCACCCACGAUCCAACAGGUGCCUUGAUGAACUGGAACCGAAGCAUCCAUUGCUGCAACUGGAAUGGUGUCAUAUGCAGCUCACUGAAACCAGGGCGGGUUGCGGCUUUGGAACUCCCUGGCCAAAACUUGUCGGGUCAACUCAACCCUUCUCUUGGGAACAUAACGUUCCUUAAGGUCCUGAAUUUGUCCUUCAAUGACUUCUCCGGCCAGUUACCUCCUCUGAACCAGUUCCAUGAGCUGAUUAAACUUGACCUGAGCUCCAAUUCAUUCCAAGGGAUAAUCCCUGAUUCACCCACAAAUUGUUCGAACCUAAAGCUCCUGUAUUUGUCCUUCAAUGACUUCUCCGGCCAGUUACCUCCUCUGAACCAGUUCCAUGAGCUGAUCAAACUUGACCUGAGCUCCAAUUCAUUCCAAGGGAUAAUCCCUGAUUCACCCACAAAUUGUUCGAACCUAAAGGUCCUGAAUUUGUCCUUCAAUGACUUCUCCGGCCAGUUACCUCCUCUGAACCAGUUCCAUGAGCUGAUUAAACUUGACCUGAGCUCCAAUUCAUUCCAAGGGAUAAUCCCUGAUUCACCCACAAAUUGUUCGAACCUAAAGGUCCUGAAUUUGUCCUUCAAUGACUUCUCCGGUCAGUUACCUCCUCUUGAACCAGUUCCAUGA